rnacentral:misc_RNA from 1 species
AACCCUUGUGGAGGAGGACGCCGAAGGUGGGGCUAAUGACUGGGGUGAAGUCGUAACAAGGUAGCCGUACCGGAAGGUGCGGCUGGAUCACCUCCUAACAGGGAGACAACAAAAUGUAAAUAUUAAUUUUGUCACCUUAGGUCGAUCGGUAUCUCAGAUUCUUAUUUUAAGAAUUUCAGUUUCUAAGUUUUUUCUAGGUCACACCCAUCACUUUUUCCUGGGCCAUUAGCUCAGGUGGUUAGAGCGCACCCCUGAUAAGGGUGAGGUCCCUGGUUCAAGUCCAGGAUGGCCCAUAUCUCUAUGUUGGGGGUAUAGCUCAGUUGGUAGAGCGCCUGCUUUGCAAGCAGGAUGUCAGCGGUUCGAGUCCGCUUACCUCCACUGAAUACCACCUCUUACAUAUAUUUAAAGUGGGAAAUAGUUUUGAUUUGUGUCCUAAUUUGCUCUGAGCGAAUCUAGCUUCCUAUUUAUUCAAUAAAUAAGAUGCUGGACUCAUUGAAUUUUUAUUCCUUGUUUUCAGAGAACCUUGACAACUGCAUAGAUUAUUUUUUUAAAGACAAUAAGCAUCUUUAAUGAUGCAGAUUUAUUAUUUGUGCGAAUGCAUUAAAUAACAAUUCUAUUAAGCUGAUGCUUCAAUUAUUGAAGUUAUUGGUCAAGCUACAAAGGGCUCACGGAGGA